rnacentral:rRNA from 1 species
CCUACGGGGGGCUGCAGUAACGAAUCUUCCGCAAUGCUCGAAAGAGUGACGGAGCGACGCCGCGUGUGGGACGAAGCCCUUCGGGGUGUAAACCACUGUCAGGGGACAGAAAGAUCUGAUCGUCCCCAGAGGAAGGCACGGCUAACUCUGUGCCAGCAGCCGCGGUAAGACAGAGGUGCCAAGCGUUAGGCGGAAUCACUGGGCUUAAAGCGUGUGUAGGCGGAUGCCUAAGUACCUUGUGAAAUCCCCCGGCUCAACCGGGGAACUGCUGGGUAUACUGGGUGUCUUGGGUCAUCUAGGGGCUGCCGGAACAAAUGGUGGAGCGGUGAAAUGCGUAGAUAUCAUUUGGAACGCCAACGGCGAAAGCAGGCAGCUGGGGAUGCACCGACGCUGAGACACGAAAGCCAGGGGAGCGAACGGGAUUAGAUACCCUAGUAGUC